UGUCGCGCGGUGACGUCAAGCCCCGAUCUGACUCCAUGCAAAGCGCCCCGCGAUGCGCGUGCAGCGGAGCACAUGGAGGAGAGCGGACGCGCGCUUAGCAGCCUGGCUAAUGUAGCAUGCGGGGCGCAAAAUAUUGGCGAAUGAAGAACAUUUCAGGUCUGGAAAGUGGACUGACUUGCCCAAGGCGUCCUACAUGGAUGAGAGAAAAAUAUUGAGGAUGUGAGCAGUCCUUUCACCUUUAAGAGUUAUCUUCAAAAUGGAGUUUGUUCUUUUUUCAACGUUUCAGUUUCAGAAUCCAUUUGUAGUAUGGGUCACCCUGCCAGUGAGGAAUACGGUGAAGAGGCCAUCCUGUGAGAUAAGAGCACUAUACCGGACAGCAUGACCUUCAGAGGACUGGACUGGACUGAACUUGAACUGUGUUUAGACAGCAUAAGUAGAGAACAACCUCCCGCUGAAGCCAUCAACCUCAUUUAAACCGUAGCUCUGAUGUCACCAGAGAUGUUAAAUAGGGCAGCAGGCCAGGCACACGUGUACCUACUCUGAAGAAGGCCAGUUCAGUGGAAACUAGUAAGCAAACACUCUGAAAAGGACACACGCUCCCUCAAUGUCAGCAAACAUUUGGUCACAACUUCAAAGGGAAGUGACAGUCGUUUGAAACUGGGGAUGACGUUGGGUGCCGUUGGAGCAGCACGAGAGGUCCCACCACGCUCCACUGCCGGCUUUUACACUCCUCAGUCCUCUCUCACCACACAUCUUCCUGUGGAGAUUGGUUGGCUUUGUUUCCUCUAAGAUGAAUGUCUCUCUGAACCUCUUGUGGCAUUUGAGUGAACUGCAGUUAUAUUAGAGGUUCUAGCUCUGGUGAUUCAUCGAAUAGAAACUCCAGAGGAAUUUGCUGCAUCACAGAACAAAUCUUCUCCGAUUUUCAUGUGUACACGACGUUCCUUUGACAUGACCAUGAGAAGAUGAAUGAUGUCUCUUGAGAAAGAUCUGUUUACUGGUUCUCAAUUAUUCUGUCUUUCUGCCCAUCCAUCAUCUUAUCACUUUCACAGUCUCUCCACCACUUUCUUUUUCAUACAGCGGUUUGUAUGAAUAAUAUAUGCCACAUUGCUUCGCUGUCAUUAAAGGUGACCUUGGUUAAUUAUUGAUUGGGUCAGAUGAUUACAGGCCUGACCUCUGUAUGUUCUCGUCUGCCUCUCGGCUCAGUUUUCAUGUUGACACUCCUCUUAGUAUUCCUGGAGACCCUAAUAUGAUGAAUUAUUGCUUAUUAUUAUUGCUGGGGGAGUGUUGGCGCCUUUACAGAGACAUGAAAUGUAAAAUUACAAAAGUAACCAUGAAUGUCAAGACUAUUACUCCGUUUUAAUGAAAUAUGUAAGAGGUAAUGUAUAGUCAGUUGGUCAUUAUCACUAAAUGAACCCCGACAGGGUGAUCAGAUUAAGCCCCUGAAGGGGUUUAUUUUGUUACAGUGACCGGCUGACUCUAAAAUGUCCCUCGUAUUACCUUGCUGCUUGUCAAAUGAAUUAUAAAUGGACUUGAAAAAUGUUGUAUUUGUAUUGUGUUUUUAUGUGAGACCGUGUGAUUUAAGGAGUAUCAAGAAAUACCGUAUUAGCAGCUGUUAUUUAAACACAUUUGACCACCGAAUAUCACAACUGACCAACCAGAAUAAAGCAGAGCAUGAUAAAAUA